AUUGAACGCUGGCGGCAUGCCUAACACAUGCAAGUCGAACGGCAACGGGGCUUCGGGUGGCGCCUAGUGGCGACGGGGGGCGGAAUACAGCGGAACGCGCCCGAAUGUACGGGUUAGCGGGGGAUAACGUAGGGUAAUUCACCAUACGACCUCAUGCUGCAUGCGGGGGAAAGCAGGGGCUCGCCCGGCCUGGGGCGACGAUAUGAGCCGAUGUCGGAGUUGCUAGUUGGUGGGGUAAAGGCGAACCAAGGCGACGAUCCGUAGCUGGUCUGAGAGGAUGAUCAGCCACACUGGGACUGAGACACGGUCCAGACUCCUACGGGAGGCAGCAGUGGGGAAUUUUGGACAAUGGGCGCAAGCCUGAUCCAGCCAUGCCGCGUGCAUGAUGAAGGCCUUCGGGUUGUAAAGUGCUUUUGUACGGAACGAAAAGCCUUCUUUUAAUACAGGGGUGUCAUGACGGUACCGUAAGAAUAAGCACCGGCUAACUACGUG
rnacentral:rRNA from 1 species